CAGAGGUCCCAUAUCAAAAAUAAAAGGUUCUUGGGGUGCUGAGGAAGGAGGAUCACUGCAUGUUCAAAGCUAGCCUGCACUACAUAAUAAAGAGAGUGGAGAUAUUUCUCUGAAGAUGUGACAUUUGAGCAGACCUGAUCGAAAUAAGGGUUGAACAAUGUGAGGCUGUGCUGGAAGACUAUUCCAGGAAAAAGAAAGAGCAAGUGGGAAUAACUGUGGAGAAACAGGACCUGAUUUGUGUUUUUAAAGAUCAAUCGCACCGUUUUAUGAAUACCUGCCGACCAUGGAGAGGCGAGACAGCAAGCAGGCCAGGUGAGGAAUAUGUAAUGAAGGCUUGGACAAGGAAGCAAAGGCAGUGGAGAAGGGCCAUCAGAAUCUGGAAACACUCUAAGGUUAAGCAUCCCUGACGUGAAAAUCUGAACUGCUUCAAAAUCUGUAACUUUGUGAGUGCUGACAUGACAAAUCCACAUCUGACCUCUUGACAGGCUACAGUCACAAUGCAGUCACAGCUGAGACCUCAGUGGUCCUGUGAUGCUGUGAUACUCAAGGACAAGAUUACAUCAGCUAAAGACACCCUGGUUCCUUGAGAACUGAGUAGUAAGAGAAAGGUUUCACCUGGG
rnacentral:lncRNA from 1 species